CAAUAGCGUAUAUUAAAGUUGUUGCAGUUAAAAAGCUCGUAGUUGGAUUUCUGGUUGAAGCGACCGGUCGGGCGUUGAUUCGUCUGCACUGGAGUCGGUUUUGGCCAUCCUCUAGGAAAGUGCGUCUGGUAUUAAGUUAUCGGGCGUAUGAUCCUGGUCUUUUACUGUGAAAAAAUUAGAGUGUUUAAAGCAGGCCUUCGCCUUGAGUACAUUAGCAUGGAAUAAUAAGAUAGGACUUUGGUCUAUUUUGUUGGUUUGCAGACCGAAGUAAUGAUUAAUAGGGAUAGUUGGGGGUAUUUAUAUUCCGAUGUCAGAGGUGAAAUUCUUAGAUUUUCGGAAGAUAAACUUAUGCGAAAGCAUUUACCAAGGAUGUUUUCAUUAA
rnacentral:rRNA from 1 species